rnacentral:tRNA from 1 species
GGGAUUGUGGCUCAGUUGUACAGCGCUUGCCUAACAUGCAUGAGGCACUGGGUUCAAUCCUCAGCACCA